rnacentral:rRNA from 1 species
UACAGAGGGUGCAAGCGUUUGUUCGGAAUUAUUGGGCGUAAAGCGUGUGUAGGCGGCUUUGCAAGUCGGGUGUGAAAGCCCUCAGCUCAACUGAGGAAGUGCGCCCGAAACUGCAGAGCUUGAGUACCGGAGAGGAUGGCGGAAUUCCCCCAAGUAGAGGUGAAAUUCGUAGAUAUGGGGGAGGAACACCGGUGGCGAAGGCGGCCAUCUGGACGGAUACUGACGCUGAGACGCGAAAAGCGUGGGUAGCAAACAGG